CACCAACCAGUGUAACAAUAACAGCGUAUUUGUAAUUGUCUCCAACGAUCUUCGAAAGCUCAGGGAAAUGCCAAGAAUACCACUCUUUCAUGCGCAUAGCGAAAGUAUUAAUGUCCUUGUCAAGUUGAUCAAGGAUAGCAAUAGCUUGGAUAAUCAUGUUGUCAUUUCUGUUAACAUUGAACUUCACUUUUGCGCGAGAGUAUGAAUGUCCUAAACCAAGCUGAGCCCUUUCGAAAUCACCGGGUGAUAGUUGCUUGAGAAGUUUAUCACCAUGAAAACGAAUACCACGGAGAAGAUCCUGGGUAAGCUCAGAAGUGUCACAUUCAAUGGCAUCAAUUUCGGAUUUAAUAGACGUUGCUAAAUUUUUGUCUUGGAC